GGUGUGUGUGUGUGUGUGUGUGUACGCACAACCGCAUGUGGAUGUCAGAGGACAACUUGAUGGGAUCAAUUCUCUCUGUUCUCCAGCCAUGAAACUCAGAUUAUCAGUCCUGGUGGCAAUCACCUUCACAUGGUGAGUCAUGUGACUGGUCCUUAGUUUUUCUGCCUUGAGACAGCAUAGUGUGUUAGUGUCCUCGGCCUGCCUCAAGCGAUUCUCACCGCCUUAGAGCUACUGAGUUCUAGGUUAGCCCAGGUCUGUUCGUUCCUGGUUACAUGCUGCUCAUUCUUUACCUAGAACAGUUACGUCUUGAAAAUUUGGUAGAGAAACAUUUCUUUUUUUUUCUUUCUUUUUUUUUUUUUUUGGUUCUUUUUUUCGGAGCUGGGGACCGAACCCAGGGCCUUGUGCUUCCUAGGUAAGUGCUCUACCACUGAGCUAAAUCCCCAGCCCCUAGAGAAACAUUUCUUGAGUCGCUAAAUAGGCGCUGGUGUCCUGCAGCCGGUUUAGUUGAAGCGUGUUCAGAAAAGAGGAGGGCAUCUUUCUUUAGUACUAACAGGGUUGAGCUGAAUUAGGGAACCUCUCUGGCGCAGUCGGGAUUCAGCUGCCCUGGCGUUGUCAGGAGCCACAGCGUGGGAAUCGAGCUGUGCAGCAGCAACCAUAGAGAACUCACGGCGGGAGCGAGGGGCCGGAUGCGGUUACCAUAGAGACGGGUGACUGACAGGCAGCGGAAGAGGAAGCCGAGGGCUGGGCUGUGAGGUGGCAGUGGCUGCAAAGCGGAGCUCCUCGCCCGGCAGCAGGGUGGGCUCACCUGCGAGGCGGCUCCGUCGGCUGUGGGGUUUGGGUGUUCCUGUCCCCCUGACCGGCAUGACCUGAGAACCCGCUCGGUCUUACUCUACGCCGCGAGCUCCCUUCCGCCGCUCGAGUUCUCAGAGCAAACCAGCUGGACGCCGGGCCUUCUCUGCAGUCGCGGGACUAAUUUCUCUGCAGUAGGCGAUUAAUUUCUGUCUCCAGACGGCCGGCUAGGACUCGCUCUGUGCCUCCUGAGGGCUGGCACGGGGCUGUGGUCGCCAAGGGAAUAAUAGGGCACUGACUGGCGCAGGCAGGUGUCCUGUUGGAAGGUGGUGAGCCUCUACUGGCCUUCCCAGACCCCGCGUUUCUGUAACUGCUGCUGUCUCUCGGGUUGCUUUUGCUUUAUUUGGCUUUGUUUGAUAACCUCUAGCCACAGCAAGAGUGUCUGUAAUUUUGUCUCCUGCUGCUCUUCGAAAUGUGGGCAGCAUAGCUUUGCAGGACGAGUAGGAUGGCCAGCAAAAUGGUUCCAUCAGCCAUUGCUCUCCUCUGAGAGGCCAGCAGUGCUGAGUCACUGUGACUGUUCACCUCAUUUGGGUGGGCAGGUGGGUGGGCACCAUGCAUGGUUGGUGAUCUUAUCUGACAAGGAGGGCAUUUCUAGAGUCUGUGGAUUUCUUUGACACUCAGGAGCAGGGUGGAAGGAGGCGCUGACCCCUUCUCAAGUGCUAGCCUGCAGCCGCAGUAAGUCAGCAGUCCCUUCUGGGGCCUGAAGAGACAUAGUGGGCCAGGAUAUCUGCAGGAUAGGAUAGGGCGGCAGAGGCAGGCCCUUUAGGUCAGACUGCUGUUUGAAUAGUGCAUGCACUUUACCCUGCCUGGGUCAUCGGGUGCUGCUGACUUGAAUUAGGCCCAUGCUUCAAAUGGCUGUAGACCUUUUAGGGUUAGGCUUGGCAGUGUUGUACUUUCUUUUUUCUUUUUACUGGACUACAGACUGCAUUCCUAGUAGUGAGUGGCAUUGUUCACACAGACAUUAGUGUUUUAUUGAGGAGUGUAUCACUCAUGGCCACCGAAGACCAGACGUAGGGAGUUGGGAAGACUUUGUGGGGAUGCUGGGCCUGAAAGUCGACACACAUUGCUCCUUUCUCUGUUGCUGACCUCAUUGACUCCAGGUUCUCUGGCUAAAACCGUGGGACAACUGCUGGCCUGGGGCCCAUCAACCUACUAAUCCCUGAGACUGUGCCCCUGGGGCACCCUGUGUCAGGGCCUGCCACCAUGCGGCUGAGCUCCCUGCUGGCCGUGCUACGGCCAAUGCUCCCCCUCAUCCUGGGACUGUCUCUGGGAUGCAGCCUGAGCCUCCUUCGGGUUUCCUGGAUCCAGGGUGAGGGAGAAGAUCCCUGUGUAGAGGCUGUGGGGAAGCCAGGAGGGCCACAGAAUCCAGACUUGAAACACGGGCUGGACCAAAGCGAUGAAGACUUCAAACCUAGGAUUGUCCCCUACUACAGGGACCCUAACAAGCAUUACAAGAAGGUGCUCAGGACUCGGUAUAUACAGACAGAGCUGGGCUCCCGUGAGCGCUUGCUGGUGGCUGUCCUGACUUCUCGAGCCACACUAUCUACCCUGGCCGUCGCUGUUAACCGUACAGUGGCACAUCACUUCCCUCGGUUACUCUACUUCACGGGGCAGCGAGGGGCCCGGGCUCCUGCGGGGAUGCAGGUGGUGUCUCAUGGAGAUGAGCGGCCUGCCUGGCUCAUGUCAGAGACCCUGCGCCACCUUCACACACACUUUGGGGCAGACUAUGACUGGUUCUUCAUCAUGCAGGACGACACAUACGUGCAGGCCCCCAGACUGGCAGCUCUCGCUGGCCAUCUUAGCAUCAACCAAGACCUGUACUUGGGCCACGCAGAGGAGUUCAUUGGUACAGGAGAGCAGGCCCGGUACUGCCACGGGGGCUUCGGCUACCUGUUGUCACGGAGUCUCCUAUUGCGUUUGCGGCCGCAUCUGGAUGGCUGCCGAGGGGACAUUCUCAGUGCCCGGCCUGAUGAAUGGCUUGGCCGCUGCCUCAUCGACACUCUGGGCAUCGGCUGUGUCUCACAGCACCAGGGGCAACAGUAUCGCUCCUUCGAACUGGCCAAGAAUAGGGACCCUGAGAAGGAGGGGAGCCCUGCAUUCCUGAGUGCCUUCACCGUUCACCCUGUCUCCGAGGGUACCCUCAUGUACCGGCUCCACAAACGCUUCAGUGCCCUGGAGUUGGAGCGGGCCUACAAGGAGAUAGAACAACUGCAGGCUCAGAUCCGGAACCUGACAGUGCUGACCCCCGAGGGGGAGGCAGGGCUAAGCUGGCCUGUUGGGCUCCCAGCCCCAUUCAUUCCACACUCUCGAUUCGAGGUGUUGGGCUGGGACUACUUCACCGAGCAACACACCUUCGCCUGUGCAGACGGGGCUCCCAAGUGCCCGCUGCAGGGGGCUAGCAGGGCAGAUGUGGGGGAUGCCGUGGACACUGCCCUGGAGCAGCUCAAUCGGCGCUAUCAGCCCCGCUUGCGCUUCCAGAAGCAGCGGCUUCUCAACGGCUACAGGCGCUUUGACCCUGCGAGGGGCAUGGAGUACACCCUGGACUUGCUGCUGGAAGCCGUGACUCAACGAGGGCAUCGACGCUCCCUGGCCCGCAGAGUGAGCCUGCUGAGGCCACUGAGCAAAGUGGAAAUCCUGCCUAUGCCCUAUGUCACUGAGGCUACCCGGGUGCAGCUGGUGUUGCCGAUCCUGGUGGCCGAAGCUCCGGCUGCCCUGGCUUUUCUUGAAGCCUUUGCUGCCAGUGUUCUGGAGCCUCGAGAACAUGCAUUGCUCACCCUGUUGUUGGUCUAUGGGCCCCGGGAAGGCCGCGGGGGCCCUGACCCAUUUCUUGGAGUGAAGGCUGCAGCAGCUGAGUUAGAACGACGGUACCCCGGGACGAGGCUGGCCUGGCUUGCUGUUCGAGCGGAGGCCCCUUCCCAGGUGCGACUCAUGGAUGUCAUCUCCAAGAAACACCCCGUGGACACGCUUUUCUUCCUUACCACUGUGUGGACAAGACCUGGGUCGGAAGUCCUCAACCGCUGCCGUAUGAAUGCAAUCUCGGGCUGGCAGGCCUUCUUUCCGGUCCACUUUCAGGAGUUCAACCCCGUUCUGUCACCACAGAGAUCUCCCCCAGGUGUCCCUGGGGCUGGCCCUGACCCCCCAUCCCCUGGUGUGGACCCUUCUCGGGGAGCUCCAGUCGGGGGCAGAUUUGACCGGCAGGCAUCAGCAGAGGGCUGCUUCUACAACGCUGACUACCUGGCAGCCCGGGCCCGGCUGGCUGGUGAACUGGCAGGCCAGGAAGAGGAGGAAGCCCUGGAGGGGCUGGAGGUGAUGGAUGUUUUCCUCCGGUUCUCAGGGCUCCACCUCUUUCGAGCCGUAGAGCCAGGGCUGGUACAGAAGUUCUCCCUGAGGGACUGCAGCCCCCGGCUCAGUGAGGAACUGUACCACCGUUGUCGCCUCAGCAACUUGGAGGGGCUGGGUGCCCGUACCCAGCUAGCUAUGGCUCUGUUUGAGCAGGAGCAGGCCAACAGCACUUAGCUUCUCCACCCCUGGGUCUGCCAUAGCCCCAGGAAGGGCAAGGCAAGGCAAUGGACAGAUGGAGGGCUUGCCGCUGUAUUUUUUUAAAAAUAAGAAAUGUUAUUAAAAGUAUCUUCUGCCAAACUGUUUUUAGGUCUAGGGAGAGGGCUAAGAAGAAUCUGUAGGAGGGUCAUGGAGAGUUUGUCUGCCAGGUUCCACUGCCUUCCCCUCUCUUCUUCCCUCCCAUCCCAAUCCACAAUGACCACAAGGCUGCUGUCUGAUGAGUGACCUUUAAUCCAGCCCUCCCCAACCCCAGCACAGCACGGGAGAGGGAGUCCAGAGCCCAGGGUCCAUGCUGGGCAGCGAGGCUGGUCCACAGUGAUGCGUGUUCACAGGCUCCUAGGUGUUGCGCACAACUAGUGACUGCUCCAGCUCCUGCCUGCGCUGCUGGAUCUUUAGAGGAAGCGUGAGCAGGGGCAGGGUUACAAUGACCCUGGUGAGUGACCAGGGGCACCCCCUCCUGGCACCCCUUCCCUGGAAGAGUCUGGGAGCCAGGAGACUACUGCAUGGGGGUGUAGGGUGGUGGACAGGCGUUGGGCAUAGGCAGCAGCAAAGACUGUUGCCAGGUGAGAGGCAAGGCCUCUCUUAGGACUGAAGGAGAAGGAAGCCUCAUGUUCCAGGGCCUCCAUUACCUUACAGUAGAAGUAGCGGCUGACAGCUUCCUGGGACCAGGGCUGGUGGUAGAACUCAGCCCGGCGCUCUUCCUCGGGGUUACCGGCCACAUCUGUCAUCACCUGGGAGGGAGCACGGGGCCUGCGGUGAGUUCCAAGUGCCUCACCUGCCCGAGUUGCAUGCUCCUCUUCCCCUCCCUGUGUGCUUGUCUUCACAUCAGUGACCCCUGAGCCCCGUCUUCACCUUGAGAUCACGGCUCUGGGAGCGGAGCAGGUCUUGGACGUAGCCUUUGGGGUCUCUGGAGAAACUUAGCAUGAAGUCCCUCUGGAUCUUGAGCUGAUUUAUGGACUCAAUGGUCUCAUGGAUCUACAGGCCGCACCUUACUGUCCAGAGCACUGAUCUCCUGCUGGUUGGCGGUGGACAGGAGAAAGCUGCUCAUCUGCCCCUUCAGUGGUUCCUCCACCUCCACAUCAAUGUCAUAGCACGCGGUCUUCUUCUGGUCUGAUGGGUCCACGCUGCCAGAGAAGCCCAGCCUUUGAUGUCCAUGGUAUACCCCCACGGAAGCCCAGGGCUGGGGAGGGGACACAGGGAGGGGAGCAGGGAGGGGAGCAGAGAGCUCCCUCUGUGGGGAAGGCUGGGCCACCUCACCUGAUGACAUGGUUGAUCACAAUGGGGUCAGGAGGAAGCAGCAGGCCUGUGAGACGCUGGGGAAUCUCAGAAAACUUCAGGCGGGGACAGUCAAAAAUCUGAAGCAGGAGAGUUGAGAGGGAGAUCAUUCGUGUGUGUGUGUGUGUGUGUGUGUGUGUGUGUGUGUGUGUGUGUGUAAAGACAGUAGCUAAUAAUAGUCCUUCCAUUCUGGAAAGACCACAAGAAGCUGAGGGCAAGUCAGAAUUCUGGGCGCUGAUGGCUGUGGGCUGGGCUGGAGGUAGAGAAGCAGGAUAAUUAGGGGGCCAGUGUGGGGUCCUAAGUCAGCCUGCUUGAGCGUUUGUCCCUUCUGCCACAUCCUGUGAGAAGUUACCUAGCACCUUGGGUCUUAGUGCCUUCACUUCCAGAAUAGGGAUAUUACCAACCCCAUCUCAUGGGUGGUUAUGAGAACCGGGUGAAUCUGCAGAGCAGGAAGUGUCUGAAGUGGUACAUGGUAAAUGCUCAAUAAACACCAGCUACUCUUUCUCCUCA